CCUACGGGCGGCAGCAGUGGGGAAUAUUGGACAAUGGGGGGAACCCUGAUCCAGCCAUGCCGCGUGUGUGAAGAAGGCCCUCGGGUUGUAAAGCACUUUCAGUGAGGAAGAACGCCUGGUGGUUAAUACCCAUCAGGAAAGACAUCACUCACAGAAGAAGCACCGGCUAACUCCGUGCCAGCAGCCGCGGUAAUACGGAGGGUGCGAGCGUUAAUCGGAAUUACUGGGCGUAAAGCGCGCGUAGGUGGCUUGAUAAGCCGGUUGUGAAAGCCCCGGGCUCAACCUGGGAACGGCAUCCGGAACUGUCAAGCUAGAGUGCAGGAGAGGAAGGUAGAAUUCCCGGUGUAGCGAUGAAAUGCGUAGAGAUCGGGAGGAAUACCAGUGGCGAAGGCGGCCUUCUGGACUGACACUGACACUGAGGUGCGAAAGCGUGGGUAGCAAACAGGAUUAGAUACCCCAGUAGUC
rnacentral:rRNA from 1 species